GACGAACGCUGGCGGCGUGCUUAACACAUGCAAGUCGAACGAUGGCCGAAAAGCAGAUUUCUUCGGAAUGAAGCUUUUCAUGAUUAGUGGCGGACGGGUGAGUAACGCGUGAGCAACCUGCCUUAGACAACGGGAUAGCCAAGGGAAACUUUGAUUAAUACCGUAUAAUGUUAUCUUCUCGCAUGAGAGAUUGACCAAAGGAUUCUGGUCUAAGAUGGGCUCGCGUCUGAUUAGCUAGUUGGUGUGAUAAAAGCGCACCAAGGCGACGAUCAGUAGCCGGCUUGAGAGAGUGAACGGCCACACUGGAACUGAGACACGGUCCAG
rnacentral:rRNA from 1 species